GACAGAGGAUGCAAGCGUUAUCCGGAAUGAUUGGGCGUAAAGCGCGCGUAGGUGGCUUGAUAAGUUGGAUGUGAAAUCCCCGGGCUCAACCUGGGAACUGCAUCCAAAACUGUCUGGCUAGAGUGUGGUAGAGGGUAGUGGAAUUUCCAGUGUAGCGGUGAAAUGCGUAGAUAUUGGAAGGAACACCAGUGGCGAAGGCGACUACCUGGACUAACACUGACACUGAGGUGCGAAAGCGUGGGGAGCAAACAGGG
rnacentral:rRNA from 1 species